rnacentral:misc_RNA from 1 species
GAUGAAGAACGCAGCGAAAUGCGAUAAGUAAUGUGAAUUGCAGAAUUCAGUGAAUCAUCGAAUCUUUGAACGCACAUUGCGCCCGCCAGUAUUCUGGCGGGCAUGCCUGUCCGAGCGUCAUUUCAACUCUCGAACCCCUCCGGGGGGUCGGCGUUGGGGAUCGGCCCUUUACGGGGCCGGCCCCGAAAUACAGUGGCGGUCUCGCCGCAGCCUCUCCUGCGCAGUAGUUUGCACACUCGCAUCGGGAGCGCGGCGCGUCCACAGCCGUUAAACACCCCAAACUUCUGAAAUGUUGACCUCGGAUCAGGUAGGAAUACCCGCUGAACUUAAGCAUAUCAAUAAGCGGAGGA